CUUAUUGCUAUUAUAAACUGGUAGUCAAUGUAAUUAGAGCAGUGAAAAUAAAUGUUUUGUCAUACCCAUGGUAUAUGACCUGAUAUGCCACGGCUGUCAGCCAAUCAGCAUUCAGGGCUUAAACCACCCAGUUUAUAUAUUUGAUUGAAGAAUAACAACAUUUCUGCUGUGCUGCAGGAUUGUUGUCCUUUUCCUUUGAGGAAUCGUGGAACUGUGGAAGAGGCAAGAAAAAGCAAGAGGUGACAAAAUUAUUUGAAGGAAUCUGCAGUUCGUGUGCCCUUGCAAUUGUAUUUUACACACACAGUUCUCAGCAGCUUGGUCGGUGAAGUAGAGGACAGUAGAGGAGGGUAGAGAGAAGCAGAGGAGGGCAUAACAGAGGGAGAAAGAGAGAGGGAGCUCUGCAGCAGGAUCCCCAUCGUGCUGAGCCCAAGACUGCGUGACUGGUCUGUGCUGGGUGAGGGGGAGGGGAGGCGAGGCAUAUCAGUGCAACACAGCCUUACUGGAUGAGUUGCAGCAGCAGCAGUAACACUAGCAGCAUCUCAUUUGUGGCUGCUGGGAACUCGGUCGCUAGAGCACGGCGCUCCCGCUCACACACACACAUACAGGCGCUCCCAGCGCCACCGCCACACACACGCAGUGGCAGCCACAGCCGUCGUUAGAGCCUGGGCUGGGGCAGGGACCGCUACUGUGACGACUGGAGCUACGGCGAUAGCAGCUGCGGCACCAUGGCGCAAGCCGCCAAGCAGCUACGCAAGAACAAGGACCUAGCGGAGCUCGCAGCUCAGGAGCUGAAGGAUAAGGAGGAGGAGAAGAACAAGAAGAGGAAUCGAUCGAGGGACCGCAGACGCAAGGCUCAUGUGGUUCAGCGCUGGCUUGUCCAUCAGGACAGUAGUGUGAGCUCUGAGAGGUCGGCCAAUCGAGCACGGGGAAUAUGGUACUAUGAUGACAGAGUAAAUAUCAUCCGAUACACACGCUGUAUACUUCAACACUUUCUCUCUAUAUAUCUCUAUGGCAGCUCUAUGUAGUCGUGGUUUGUGUCGUUGCUUCUUCUUUGGGAUCUUCCUCUCGUGAUCUCUUGUGGCUUCUUGAGCUCUCUGUACGUGUGUGUUGUUGUGAUGUGUCUGGGCAUUAUAGUUAGGUUUGGUGGUUCUUUGCAACACCAUGUAUCUAUUUUCACCGCUUUCUUCUCUUUAUCUCCUUUUCUGUAGUACUUGUUUGUCUUUAUGUUUGUUUGGUGGACAAUUCUUUUCACUGUGGGUGUGCAAGAGUAUGUGGUGUUUAUUUGGUGCACAUUUGUGUGUUCUUGGAGGCCCCUUGUGCUAUCUAAUAAAUAAGCCUCAUCCCUAGGUAAACCGUACGUGGACACUCUUUAUGUAUGUCUGUUUUAUAACUCUUUAUGAGUGUGCCAAGCAAACCGGAAACAUUCCCAGAACAUUAGCUAAGAUUCCUAUUACGUUCUAGUUAGGGUUUAUCAGAGAAUGUUUUGAUGACUGCAUUUUUUUUCAAAAAAUGUUUUAAAUUAAAUAUUCUUGGAUUAUUCUCCUAACGUUCACUAUAAUGUUGUACACAACAUCUGAAACAACCCCCACAGAACAUUCUCCCAAAGUUCCCCCAAAGUUCUCCAAGUAAUAAAUGUUUUCCCAGCAAACCAAAAUUGGUUCUGUAAAAGUUCCUAGAAUAAUUGUUAGUUCGCAGCA
rnacentral:lncRNA from 8 species